GACGAACGCUGGCGGCGUGCUUAACACAUGCAAGUCGAACGAAGUGGCGAACGGGUGAGUAACGCGUAAUCAACCUGCCCUUCCGAGGGGGACAACAGUUGGAAACGACUGCUAAUACCGCAUACUGCAGGGGGUGAGUGCGUGUGUUUAGCUAGUUGGAGGGGUAAAGGCCCACCAAGGCGAGGCUCAGUAGCCGGUCUGAGAGGGUGAACGGCCACAUUGGGACUGAGACACGGCCCAGACUCCUACGGGAGGCAGCAGUGGGGAAUCUUCGGCAAUGGACGAAAGUCUGACGGAGCAACGCCGCGUGAGUGAUGACGGCCUUCGGGUUGUAAAGCUCUGUUAAUCGGGACGCGGUACCGGAAUAGAAAGCCACGGCUAACUACGUGCCAGCAGCCGCGGUAAUAC
rnacentral:rRNA from 1 species